rnacentral:lncRNA from 1 species
AAGACCUCUUGAUUGUCAGCAAGGUUCUACCAAGGCCCACUUGGUGACUACAGGUUCAAGGCAGGUGGAAGUUUCUGGACCACUCCUAGAGCCCUAUCCAUCUUUACGUCACAGGCCCUCCAGUUCCUGUUGAAGCUGAGAAUGGCAGCCAUGUCCUCCUCACUCAACUGGAAGUCGAAGACCUAGAAAGACAAGAGUUCCAAAACCACCCUUAGCAAGCAAUCUCUUUGAUCUUGGGAAUCUCCAUUACUACGGGGUCUUCUGGCUUGGCACUAGACGAAGAAAGAGAGCUGGAGUAAAAAUCACCAUGGCUACUGUGUGCCCGUGAACAUCCCUGCCAGGACAGCAUCAAGGCUGAGCACUGCAGCAUUUUUCCUCUGCAAGGCAGGCAGGAAGAUCUUUCCCCCUGGAUUCGUGCAUAGGAUCUAGUACUUUGGCAAUUUGAAAAUACUGCCCCAGCACAGGACAUCAGAAAUGGAAUAUUCCAGGGGAUCAGACAUGCUAUCAUUUUAAAAACACUUUACCCUGACAAUCCCACUUGGGUUACCAACACAUUGCCAUUGGUAUAUUUUAUCUUGUGCCUUGGAACUUACAUACUAAUAGAACAAAUUACAAAAUGCUAAUUUUAAGAAGG